GCGCACGUAACCCCCUCGGCUACGAACCGAGAGUAAGGUAAUGGAGGAAGAUGCAGGUUCGACCCCUGCCGUGCGCUCCA
rnacentral:tRNA from 1 species